GCUAAUACCGGAUAACAACAGAUGAUGCCUAUCAACUGUUUAAAAGAUGGUUCUGCUAUCACUCUUGGAUGGACCUGCGGUGCAUUAGCUAGUUGGUAGGGUAACGGCCUACCAAGGCGAUGAUGCAUAGCCGAGUUGAGAGACUGAUCGGCCACAUUGGGACUGAGACACGGCCCAAACUCCUACGGGAGGCAGCAGCC
rnacentral:rRNA from 1 species